CGCCCUUCAGAGGGGGACAACAGUUGGAGACGACUGCUAAUACCGCAUACGAUCCAAUCUCGGCAUCGAGACUGGAUGAAAGGUGGCCUCUAUUUAUAAGCUAUCACUGAAGGAGGGGAUUGCGUCUGAUUAGCUAGUUGGAGGGGUAACGGCCCACCAAGGCGAUGAUAAGUAGCCGGUCUGAGAGGAUGAACGGCCACAUUGGGACUGAGACACGGCCCAG
rnacentral:rRNA from 1 species